UCAUGAGUUAGCUCAGCGGGUAGAGCUUAGGGCUUGUGACCAUAAGGUCCCAGGUUCUAAUCUAGCCAGAAGCA
rnacentral:tRNA from 1 species